UUUGGGAGCGGCCGAUGUCGGAUUAGCUAGUUGGUGGGGUAAAGGCCUACCAAGGCGACGAUCCGUAGCGGGUCUGAGAGGAUGAUCCGCCACACUGGGACUGAGACACGGCCCAGACUCCUACGGGAGGCAGCAGUGGGGAAUUUUGGACAAUGGGCGGAAGCCUGAUCCAGCCAUGCCGCGUGAGUGAAGAAGGCCUUCGGGUUGUAAAGCUCUUUC
rnacentral:rRNA from 1 species